rnacentral:lncRNA from 1 species
GUUCAAAUCCCAACUGCCCCCAUAGCACCCUCAGUGAAGGGGUGGAAUCGGGUCAAAAUGCUGAUGUUCUCAACCUUUCCUGAGACCUUUGCCGGUCUUGCUGCUCUUCUACCCACUACUGCUUCUUCUCUUGCUGUGUGGGCCCUGUCCACAAACCGGGGCUGCUACCAGCCAGACCAGCUUCCCAGCACAAAGAUGCCUCAGGUGUGAGUCUCUGACCUUGGACCUCUUUUGGAAACUCUUUCUCAGAGAUCCUCGCGAUGAUUUUUGGUGAGUCCAGCUGCAGGGGGGCGUACGAAGGGUGGGCAGUUUUGAGUACCUGGCGCAGAA